ensembl:snRNA U6 U6 spliceosomal RNA
GUGCUCGCUUUGGCAGCACAGAUACUAAAAAGUGGAACGUGCAGAGAAGAUUAGCAUGGCACCUCACAAGGAUGACACCAAUUCGUGAAGCCGUUCCAUAAAAAA